rnacentral:rRNA from 1 species
GACGAACGCUGGCGGCGUGCUUAACACAUGCAAGUCGAACGGAAAGGCCCUGCUUUUGUGGGGUGCUCGAGUGGCGAACGGGUGAGUAACACGUGAGUAACCUGCCCUUGACUUUGGGAUAACUUCAGGAAACUGGGGCUAAUACCGGAUAGGAGCUCCUGCUGCAUGGUGGGGGUUGGAAAGUUUCGGCGGUUGGGGAUGGACUCGCGGCUUAUCAGCUUGUUGGUGGGGUAGUGGCUUACCAAGGCUUUGACGGGUAGCCGGCCUGAGAGGGUGACCGGCCACAUUGGGACUGAGAUACGGCCCAGACUCCUACGGGAGGCAGCAGUGGGGAAUAUUGCACAAUGGGCGGAAGCCUGAUGCAGCAACGCCGCGUGCGGGAUGACGGCCUUCGGGUUGUAAACCGCUUUCGCCUGUGACGAAGCGUGAGUGACGGUAAUGGGUAAAGAAGCACCGGCUAACUACGUGCCAGCAGCCGCGGUGAUACGUAGGGUGCGAGCGUUGUCCGGAUUUAUUGGGCGUAAAGGGCUCGUAGGUGGUUGAUCGCGUCGGAAGUGUAAUCUUGGGGCUUAACCCUGAGCGUGCUUUCGAUACGGGUUGACUUGAGGAAGGUAGGGGAGAAUGGAAUUCCUGGUGGAGCGGUGGAAUGCGCGGAUAUCAGGAGGAACACCAGUGGCGAAGGCGGUUCUCUGGGCCUUUCCUGACGCUGAGGAGCGAAAGCGUGGGGAGCGAACAGGCUUAGAUACCCUGGUAGUCCACGCUGUAAACGGUGGGUACUAGGUGUGGGGUCCAUUCCACGGGUUCCGUGCCGUAGCUGACGCUUUAAGUACCCCGCCUGGGGAGUACGGCCGCAAGGCUAAAACUCAAAGGAAUUGACGGGGCCCCGCACAAGCGGCGGAGCAUGCGGAUUAAUUCGAUGCAACGCGUAGAACCUUACCUGGGUUUGACAUGGAUCGGGAGUGCUCAGAGAUGGGUGUGCCUCUUUUGGGGUCGGUUCACAGGUGGUGCAUGCCUGUCGUCAGCUCGUGUCGUGAGAUGUUGGGUUAAGUCCCGCAACGAGCGCAACCCUUGUUCACUGUUGCCAGCACGUUAUGGUGGGGACUCAGUGGAGACCGCCGGGGUCAACUCGGAGGAAGGUGGGGAUGACGUCAAGUCAUCAUGCCCCUUAUGUCCAGGGCUUCACGCAUGCUACAAUGGCUGGUACAGAGAGUGGCGAGCCUGUGAGGGUGAGCGAAUCUCGGAAAGCCGGUCUCAGUUCGGAUUGGGGUCUGCAACUCGACCUCAUGAAGUCGGAGUCGCUAGUAAUCGCAGAUCAGCAACGCUGCGGUGAAUACGUUCCCGGGGCU